AUGCAGUCGAGCGGAUGAAGGGAGCUUGCUCCUGGAUUCAGCGGCGGACGGGUGAGUAAUGCCUAGGAAUCUGCCUGGUAGUGGGGGAUAACGUCCGGAAACGGGCGCUAAUACCGCAUACGUCCUGAGGGAGAAAGUGGGGGAUCUUCGGACCUCACGCUAUCAGAUGAGCCUAGGUCGGAUUAGCUAGUUGGUGGGGUAAAGGCCUACCAAGGCGACGAUCCGUAACUGGUCUGAGAGGAUGAUCAGUCACACUGGAACUGAGACACGGUCCAGACUCCUACGGGAGGCAGCAGUGGGGAAUAUUGGACAAUGGGCGAAAGCCUGAUCCAGCCAUGCCGCGUGUGUGAAGAAGGUCUUCGGAUUGUAAAGCACUUUAAGUUGGGAGGAAGGGCAGUAAGUUAAUACCUUGCUGUUUUGACGUUACCAACAGAAUAAGCACCGGCUAACUUCGUGCCAGCAGCCGCGGUAAUACGAAGGGUGCAAGCGUUAAUCGGAAUUACUGGGCGUAAAGCGCGCGUAGGUGGUUCAGCAAGUUGGAUGUGAAAUCCCCGGGCUCAACCUGGGAACUGCAUCCAAAACUACUGAGCUAGAGUACGGUAGAGGGUGGUGGAAUUUCCUGUGUAGCGGUGAAAUGCGUAGAUAUAGGAAGGA
rnacentral:rRNA from 1 species